rnacentral:tRNA from 1 species
GGAUCCAUAGUGUAGCGGUUAGCACAUCUGCUUUACACGCAGAAGGUCUUGAGUUCA